rnacentral:rRNA from 1 species
GACGAACGCUGGCGGUGUGCUUAAUACAUGCAAGUCGAACGAUAAGGCCCCUUCGGGGGUACAUAAGUGGCGGACGGGUGAGUAAUGCAUAGGUAAUCUGCCCUAAGGAGGGGGACAACAGUUGGAAACGACUGCUAAUACCCCAUAUGAGCUAUUUUGAAAUAGAUAGUUUGAAAGUUCCGGCGCCUUAGGAUGAGCCUGUGUCUGAUUAGCUUGUUGGUGGAGUAAUGGUCUACCAAGGCGACGAUCAGUAGCUGGUUUGAGAGGAUGAUCAGCCACAAUGGGACUGAGACACGGCCCAUACUCCUACGGGAGGCAGCAGUAGGGUAAUUUUGCGCAAUGGGCGAAAGCCUGACGCAGCAACACCGCGUGAGCGAUGAAGUCCUUUUGGGGUGUAAAGCUCUGUCAGUAGGGACGAAAAAGUGACGGUACCUACAGAGGAAGCAUCGGCUAACUACGUG